rnacentral:ncRNA from 1 species
AAUUUAUUAAUAUUUGAGGUGUCAUCCCAGUGCUUGACACUGGGAUCCAGUUGAGCUAUUUCAACAAAAAUACUGCAUUUGAGAUGAACAUUUGUUCUUACCAGAGUUAUUUACAAGUAUAACAAUUAAAGUCUGGAUUCCAGUGUCAAGCACUGGAAUGACAUCAAAGGGGCUAUUUUC